rnacentral:rRNA from 1 species
GACGAACGCUGGCGGCGUGCUUAACACAUGCAAGUCGAACGGAAAGGCCCUGCUUUUGUGGGGUGCUCGAGUGGCGAACGGGUGAGUAACACGUGAGUAACCUGCCCUUGACUUUGGGAUAACUUCAGGAAACUGGGGCUAAUACCGGAUAGGAGCUCCUGCUGCAUGGUGGGGGUUGGAAAGGUUCGGCGGUUGGGGAUGGACUCGCGGCUUAUCAGCUUGUUGGUGGGGUAGUGGCUUACCAAGGCUUUGACGGGUAGCCGGCCUGAGAGGGUGACCGGCCACAUUGGGACUGAGAUACGGCCCAGACUCCUACGGGAGGCAGCAGUGGGGAAUAUUGCACAAUGGGCGGAAGCCUGAUGCAGCAACGCCGCGUGCGGGAUGACGGCCUUCGGGUUGUAAACCGCUUUCGCCUGUGACGAAGCGUGAGUGACGGUAAUGGGUAAAGAAGCACCGGCUAACUACGUG